CCCUUCGGGGGUACACGAGUGGCGAACGGGUGAGUAACACGUGGGUAAUCUGCCCUGCACUUCGGGAUAAGCCUGGGAAACUGGGUCUAAUACCGGAUAUGAACUCCUGCCGCAUGGUGGGGGUUGGAAAGUUUUUCGGUGCAGGAUGAGCCCGCGGCCUAUCAGCUUGUUGGUGGGGUAAUGGCCUACCAAGGCGACGACGGGUAGCCGGCCUGAGAGGGUGAUCGGCCACACUGGGACUGAGACACGGCCCAGACUCCUACGGGAGGCAGCAGUGGGGAAUAUUGCACAAUGGGCGAAAGCCUGAUGCAGCGACGCCGCGUGGGGGAUGACGGUCUUCGGAUUGUAAACCCCUUUCAGUAGGGACGAAGCGCAAGUGACGGUACCUGCAGAAGAAGCACCGGCUAACUACGUGCCAGCAGCCGCGGUAAUACGUAGGGUGCGAGCGUUGUCCGGAAUUACUGGGCGUAAAGAGCUCGUAGGCGGUUUGUCACGUCGUCUGUGAAAUCCCUCGGCUUAACCGGGGGCGUGCAGGCGAUACGGGCAGACUUGAGUACUACAGGGGAGACUGGAAUUCCUGGUGUAGCGGUGAAAUGCGCAGAUAUCAGGAGGAACACCGGUGGCGAAGGCGGGUCUCUGGGUAGUAACUGACGCUGAGGAGCGAAAGCAUGGGUAGCGAACAGGAUUAGAUACCCUGGUAGUCCAUGCCGUAAACGGUGGGCGCUAGGUGUGGGGUCCUUCCACGGACUCCGUGCCGUAGCUAACGCAUU
rnacentral:rRNA from 1 species